GUGACCAGCUAUUAGGGUAUCCGCAGUGCACAGGAAGCGAUGCAGUAACGUACUCUACAGGCUGGAAUCAUUCACGAGCCGAAAGUGAGGGCGCGGCCUGAAGAAGAUGUAAAGUAAUAUCCUGGCAGUGCAUGAGUUGGCAACAUGCUCCAUCCACGCUCCUCUUCCUCCCAAACCUCCCCCCCACCCUUCGUCCAUGAGGCAUCUCACGAGUGGCAACGACGAACCCCACCUGGCAUACUGGUGACGGCGCCAUCUGGUCGCGGCCAAGGCUCGCCAUCGGGCCCGCAACUCUGCACACAGCCUCCGCUGAUCUGACGAUGGAUUUUUGGCUCUUGGUACACCUGCCCAAGAUGUUUACUCUGGAUUGACACUUAGCCUGCUGGGAGGAUAGGGUUGUAGAGACAGACUUGAGUCUGUUCCACAUUCCCUCAUCUUAACAACCUGUUCACU